rnacentral:rRNA from 1 species
AACGCUGGCGGCGUGCCUAAUACAUGCAAGUCGAGCGAACAGACGAGGAGCUUGCUCCUCUGACGUUAGCGGCGGACGGGUGAGUAACACGUGGAUAACCUACCUAUAAGACUGGGAUAACUUCGGGAAACCGGAGCUAAUACCGGAUAAUAUAUUGAACCGCAUGGUUCAAUAGUGAAAGACGGUUUUGCUGUCACUUAUAGAUGGAUCCGCGCCGCAUUAGCUAGUUGGUAAGGUAACGGCUUACCAAGGCAACGAUGCGUAGCCGACCUGAGAGGGUGAUCGGCCACACUGGAACUGAGACACGGUCCAGACUCCUACGGGAGGCAGCAGUAGGGAAUCUUCCGCAAUGGGCGAAAGCCUGACGGAGCAACGCCGCGUGAGUGAUGAAGGUCUUCGGAUCGUAAAACUCUGUUAUUAGGGAAGAACAAAUGUGUAAGUAACUAUGCACGUCU